GCAAAGUGGAGGGAAACUGAUUGGUCACUAAUAAGGGCUUAACAUUAGUACAUAUCAAUUUCCAAGAACUAAAGAAGUAUUAAAUAUUGACUAAAAUGAGUGGGCAAAGACCCUUAAUGUCAGCCAAAAAGGAGAAGAGAGUGAACUGGUUCUACUCAAGAUCAUUGUAAAAAUUCUUAAAAUGAUAAUGCUUACUGAGAAACAAGAUGCCAAGAAUAAAAGUUCAUACAGAGAACAAAAGAAUUUAAAAAGAGGUAUAUGUCUAAAGAAUUAACAAGGUGAAAUGGUGAUGAAUAGAUUUUCCCUUAUUAAGUAUCUAUGGGAGGAGGAAAUUGAGAACCAGGAAAAGCAGUAGGAACUUGAGUCCCUUAAUAACAGUUGAGAAAGGUGAGUGAUGAGAUGUGUUACGGGUUUGUUUUAAGGUAAAAUCAUCUUAUUUCAUAACAGAACUACAGGCACGGAUCUGCUUCUUAAGUAGAAAGAACACUGGAAGGACAUGAGAGUGGCAUAGAAUCUUUAAAGGUGAACAGCAGCCGUGGAAGCAUUUAUUUCAAAUCACACUCAGUGUCUGAUGGGCCAGAGCCACUACAUAUGUUAAAUGGCAGUUAUCAAACUACCCGAAGCGUAGCAAUAUGCCUCCGAAUGCUAGCUACAGCGCAGCAAGGCAUGCCGUUCCUGGUGGGAAGGGCAACGGACAAGUCGAAGUAAGAGUUUAAUUCUGAUGUUCUGAUGUCGUGAGGGUAGGGAGGAGGCAAAGUAGAAAAUCAAAAUAGGCUUUGGAAUUUAAGAAGAGGGAAAGAGUCUCUUUGGAGCAUCUCUAGGAGACAUAUUAAAUGUUGAUGUAUGGCAUUGAUUAAUGCUUACUGAAAUGCUUCUAUUGUGGAAUCAGAUAACUAGUGACUGCUGCCAUAUAAUUAACUGCAGCAACUGCUAGAAAAGAGGGGAUUUAAAGGACAUACUUUUACGUGUGUGUGUGUGUGUGUGUGUGUGUGUGUGUGUGUGUGUGUGUGUGUGUAUGCCAGAGCACAGUCCCCCUGAGUUUACUCAAGUGUCUUAUGUUGAGACAGAGAUACAGGGCUUGGAACGUAGUGAAUAUGCUGGGCUACUGGCCAGCAAGCUCCAAGGAUCUGCCUAGCCCCACUCCCCAGCCCUGGGACCUCAUGCACAGAGCAAGGCUUGGGAAUAGUGUUAACUACAUCAUUUCAGCACUUGGAUUCCGAGGCCUUUGGAUUUCCUUCACUGUCUUUAAGGCAGCCGCAGUGUUCACGUUCCCUUCCUUCUAGACUUGUUUUGAAAUGGCUUCUUUCAUAAGAUGACCUCACUUUUCAUGGUUACAAACAUUUUCAUAGCUACUGUGACAAUAUGCAUUAAUGCCUAAUUAACUAUUAUGUAACAUUAACUAAUGCCGUGCUUGGUCAUGUGGCGAACCAAAUGCUGUGCACUUGUAUGAAAUAGAACCUGUCCUCCCCUUCUUGUUGGGAAAAAUGAUCCUCUGUAUGCAUUAUGUAUAGUGUGGGCACACAGAAGAAUGAUGUUGGUAAAUUGGUGUGACAAAGAACUUAAGUGUGUUCAUAUCUAAUUUUGUUAGGCAUAUUGCUUUGAAGAAAACAGGAU
rnacentral:lncRNA from 1 species